GUGCUCACUUUAGCAGUACAAUACUUAAACUGGAACAAUACAGGGAAGAUUAGCACGGCCCCUGAGCAAGACUGACACGCAAAUUCGUGAAGCAUUCCAUAUUUUU